rnacentral:rRNA from 1 species
GACAGAGGAUGCAAGCGUUAUCCGGAAUGAUUGGGCGUAAAGCGUCUGUAGGUGGCUUUUUAAGUCUGCCGUCAAAUCCCAGGGCUUAACCCUGGACAGGCGGUGGAAACUACCAAGCUGGAGUACGGUAGGGGCAGAGGGAAUUUCCGGUGGAGCGGUGAAAUGCGUAGAGAUCGGAAAGAACACCAACGGCGAAAGCGGCGUCCUGGACUGGUACUGACGCUCAGGAGCGAAAGCGUGGGGAGCGAUCCGG